UUUGGUCGAGGUCUGACAGGGGAGAUAAGCCUCAAUGUGGUUACUCCAGUCUGCACGUGCAGCGCUGCGCAUGCUCCAAGCUCAAGCGUCGACGGUUUGCUGCACGUAACUACUCUGUCUGAUCGCUUCGUUCCUCCCUGUCCACCCCCCGCACACCUCUAAUACUCGCCGUCCGACAAAAAUAAAAACCCGUUGCUGUUACACAAAACGUGGGCCAAUUCCUGACUCCAGAACUAUGUUAAAAUGGGACAGUGGCUCGAUUAAAGCUGACACCAGGCCCUCCGCGAUGUGCAGCGAAUAAUUUGAAAAAUACCUGGGCGGUCAGCCGAGAGAAUCGCUAGACUGUCGACACGCAGAGUAGCGCCAACAGCUGUCAACCCGGUGGUUGGGAGGUGGAGGGGGAUAUCCGCAUCCAGUGUAAUUGGACCUCCUGCCACAAAUGAGUGUGGAGCCACCCAGGCGCUAGUCCCGCCUGCAGACUGCGAUAACCGCCGACAAACCUCCACAAAUGGGGGAGCCUGUGAUCAACAGCAACGGCAGGAAGUGGAUAAGACGCUCAUAGUGAAGAACUUCAGACAUGCUGGCAUCCAUGGAUGUGUGUAGCUGCCAUGUUGCACAGUGACCAAGGGAGUCACAUCAUCCAUCUCCUACAAGUAAAAUGCUGGAGCUGCUACGAGCGCAAGUUCACUGCCCGCUGCAAGCGAGGCUCUGGAUUUCUCGCGGUCUUCACUGUAGGGAGGAUGUUUGACAUGAAGCUGGCCACAAUGGCUAACACCACAUUCUUGUGGCAUCUUCGUGUUUUAGCGACACCAGGCUUUUACACCAGACAUCAGCAGCGAUAGCAAUCAGUGUCCUUCACAUCACUCUCCUGCUUGUAAGGUCCUCCACCACUGCGCAUGCGUGUCAGAUUCUCCCAGUCGCUCACCGGAAAAUAAAGUAUUUUGUGCGAAACAUUUUGUAGUUUACGAUUGUGUAUAUUUUCUUACUUUUUUGAAAUGAUUUCUACAGACACUGCUUAAGAAAAUAUAACCCCAUUAGAGUAUCUUAAUAACUGUAGUAUCAAUUACAGAUCUCAUCAUAUGUGGCUAUCAA